rnacentral:rRNA from 1 species
AAUUCGACGCAACGCGAAGAACCUUACCAGGGCUUGACAUCCCCUGACCGUCUAUGAAAGUAGGCUUCACUUCGGGUAGACAGGGAGACAGGUGGUGCAUGGUUGUCGUCAGCUCGUGUCGUGAGAUGUUGGGUUAAGUCCCGCAACGAGCGCAACCCUUACGGUUAGUUGCCAGCGGGUUAUGCCGGGCACUCUAGCUGAACUGCCGUUGACAAAACGGAGGAAGUGGGAUGACGUCAAAUCAUCAUGCCCUUUAUGUCCUGGGCUACACACGUGCUACAAUGGCCUGUACAGAGGGAAGCGAAAGGGUGACCUGGAGCGAAUCCCAAAAAGCAGGUCUCAGUUCGGAUUGCAGGCUGCAACCCGCCUGCAUGAAGAUGGAGUUGCUAGUAACCGCAGGUCAGCUAUACUGCGGUGAAUACGUUCCCGGGGCUU